ensembl:lncRNA
GUCAAAAAGGCAUCUUGGUCCCUGUCAUCAUUACUGGUGUACGGAAAAAGCAAUUAUAUUCUCUUUCAAAUUCAGCAAGGGAAGAGCAGCUUUGCAAUGAAUCACAGAACUAUUUAUGUUUGCAGGGAGCACAGAGGGGAGUGGAGUGGCAAUAGAAAACACUUUCUGUGUUUUGCCUGCUUUCAGUGACCUAUAAAACGUUGGAAUUUUUUGCCUCUCCAUAGUUACCAGAAUAUCCAUUUUUCUUUUUUUUUUUUGUUUUGUUUUGUCCUCAAAGCCUGGCACCCACAGGAGGUGUUUUCUGAGCUCUUUGAGCAUUGGAUCAGUAAAUGGAGAAGAGCACAUGCUCUCUUUGUAAAAAUGUGCAGUCUCCUAUAGUUUUUCCUAUUCAGGAGCUGCUACCUUUCAAACGUAAUUCUUGCUAUUCAGGAGGUGAUGCUGAACAAAGCUGAGGUUGGAUACUGAUCUCUUAAAGGGAAUUCUUCCCUUUUCAGCACAAAGCUGGUUGUAUUCCAGCUCAGAAUGGCUACUGCUUCUGCUUUUUGAAAGAUGAAGAAGCACACACCAACAUAAAGGGACUGGAACUGCCACGUGUUAUUUGCCAUUUAUUGAGUCUUAAUGUGCACAUUCAUACAGGAGUUGUGAAUCUCUGUUUUCAGAGCAGUGAGGGUGUGGAAACACAUAAAUAAAAUGGCAUGGUGAGGUUCAGCUUCAGGAAACUUCUCCUGUUGUCUGGGUUGUUUUUAUUCUGUCCAACAUCUGCUCAGUAAAUUGUGCAGAGCAGAGAUUUGCUGUCAGGUUGCUCUCUUCUCUGGUGCUUGGUACAGCAGAGCCCUGGGACUGGCCACGUGUUUCCAAUAGACUCCUGCAACAGAUGAUAAAUGGCCUGAGUGUCAUGGUCCCUUCUACCAGUGUUGCUCCUACUGGAUCAGGCUAAAUUCCAUUAGGGCAAUGUGGAAAGCCAGAGAGGCUUUCUGGCAAGUUGCAGAGAAGGAAGAGCAGCCUGGGUACACUGGGAUCUUGUAAUCAGCUUUCCUGAAAGGAAGGAUGUGCUGAAUGGCAAACACAAGCUGUGGUUCAUCCUUCUCCUGACUGCCCAGAACUGCCACCUGCCCAAAGUGCCUUUGCUUUCCACCUGUGCAGCCAAGUUUUACUUGUGGUAAAAGCAGAGCAUCAAGGGCAAGAUGGAGAGGGAAAAGGGCUUGUCAUGCCUGAGCCUGAUCUUCACAGAGCCAGCACGUGUAGGGCUUCACACCCUGACCUGUGAACCAAGAAAAGUUCCAGGAGCUCCUGACUUAUCUGAGGUAAGUGUCCCAGACUGCUCACAAUGCAGGGUGUUUGGGAAAGGAAUACAGAAGCUUUCAGCAUUUAUUUAAGUGGAAAUUUUGACUGUUUGAGUCCAAGGCAGCCUCUAGUUUUAUAAAUUUAAAAAUCACCAGCCAAUUUGUCUCUGGCAUCCAGCCCGCAAGUUAACAACUUUAGUUCAUUGCAAUGAGUUGAAGCUCCACAAGCUUUUCAAGAGUUCACAAACACUGAAUUCUGAGCUCUGAGUCUUGUGGAUGUAGCAUUUCUUAGCAGUAUCUGAAGUAUGUUCUCCUAAACCGUAUUUGACAGGUGAAUGCAAGAGAGAAAAUGUGGUUCCAGUGUGUCUAUUGAAAGCAGAUGCAGCAAACUGAGUUCAGUGGCUCAGAAGGAGGUAGCUGCUGCAAAGCUUGACAUAGAAGAUAAAUUAUCAGGUGCUAUUUCUGGCCUCUGGCAGAAAGAAAGGUGGGUGAUAGAAGGCUGACUUGAAAACAACCACUUUAAAUGAUUUUGGAAUUGCAUGAGCUGGAGAUGUGCUGCAUUUCACUGAUGGAUGAGUUCAGAAGCUGACCUAAUUCCCCUUAUUAUUGUCAUAUGGGCUUUUCUUUACCUGUUUCACUUACAGAAGAAAUAUUUAAAGAGAAAUUAAAGUAAUUUCUGUCUGUGAAAGUAACACAUAUGCAACCCCUUUUAUUUAAACUAGUUAUUUAAGAUUUCUAAGUAUUUCAUUUGCUUUGUCUGAUCUCGUUAAUUCCUCUACAGUGAUUUAUUUAUUUAGGCUUUUGUGGAUUUUCUUUUCUUUUUUUGUUUUAUUUUUUUCACAUAGAUGUUAACGGCUUCCACAAAGCAGCAGAUAAAUCGUCACCUAUAAUGUGCUAAUUCUCAUUGUACCUCAUCAGAGAAUGCAUGAAGGAAAAGUCUAUUAAAGGUGGUUAGAUUCAGCUGAGACUUUUUCUGUAACAGUAGAGUAGCCUCUUCUCUGUUUUCAUCAAUUAUGCACUGCAGCAGUGAGUUUUGCAGCGAAAUUUCCAUGUGCUUUAAGCCACACUAAUGAAUGCACAUAUAGAGAAGUGAUAUUGUUUCCCCUCCCUUUUUUUUUUCUGUAAAUUAAGCUUAUUUUUUUUUCUAUUUCCUCCUGCCUUAUUUUCCACUCAUUGUGUUUUGUAGCACUUCCACAAUGAUUUUAUCCUGUGUGACAUUUUCAGCUGAUAUUUAUUAAAUAAAUUGCAGCAACUAAUUAAGUUAUUUAAAAGCUUAGUCCCUCUGUUCUAGACUUAAGUGUAUGUCAAACUGGUGAUGUUUGGAAUUAGGAAUGCUAUACUGGCUCUGCUGCCACUAUAAUUCUGUCAGCAAAAGUUGUCCUGGUAAAGAUUUAUGGCUUAGAAAUUGUUGUCUAACAGCAAAAGAGAAUGGUUUUGACCACAUGAAUAUAAAAGAGUAUUUUCUUUGAAUUCUGCUUUCACUUCAAGGAGACAUGGAUGAAGCCAAGUGGAUAGGUCUUUGAUUUAGGGAUAAAAUCUGUCCUGGUGAAUCAAUGUUGAAGCAAAGAAGGAGCAGCUUGCAAGAGAGUGUGGCAAGAGCAGAGAAACUGAUUGGCCUGAAGCAUAAUCUGUUAAUGCUGCUUAUUACCAUGGAAAAACAAAACAAAACAAAAAACUAGGAUGGGAUUAGAUAUUUUUUUGUAACAUCAGAAGAUGGCAAUUAAAAGGUACUUUAGUCCCAGGCUCCUUUAAAAGCCUCUUUCUUGUAUUCUUAUUUCCUGAUAAGUUCUACCAGUUCUACAAAUAGCUGAGAGAAGAAAAGGUGUGAAUUUAAAACAUGGCACAUAUAAAAAAACCUCCUAGGAAUGCUCCUGCCUUUUCUUAUCUUUUCUGCUGAUAUGCUUCCAGGAACUCCAUAUUUAUUUUUUCUUUCAUUCUGGCAUGAAGUCAGAAUUAGUCUUCAAUAAUGCUAAUUUAUGUUCUUGCUAGUUCAUUGCUUUCUUUUAUUACAUAGUGUUAUAUGUGUCAUUUGCAUCUAAAUUCCUUCAAUCUCUGGUGAAUUUGGGACAAAUCUACUAUUAAAAAUAAAAAAAGAAAAAAUGAAGCAUAAUUUUGAUGGGAAAAGGCUGCGGAUUGAUUAAUUCCCUUACUGUUGUAAUAGAGCAGCUGGUCAGGGAUCAGGACCUCACUGUGGUGGGGGCUGUGGAGGAGAAAGGAGAUGUCUGUCCUUCCCAGACCCCACCAUCGGACAAUUAAUGAAUGGAUACAGAAUUAAUGAAUGGCUACAGACAGGGAGGGAGGCAGAAGGACACAUGAGCCACUCUGAGUCAGAGGGCUGCAGCAAACCCACAGCCAAACACUUAAGGAUGUUACUGACGUAAUGCCACAGGAGAAUUACAAGGAUAAUGAGGAUAGUUUCACAGAUACAGGCUGCCUGGGAAAAAGCACAAAGGUGCCUAAGUGAGUGUUUUAACAAGUGGGAGAUAAGGGCUUUUAUCCUGAAAGGAUUAGAGGCCAGAGUUGGUUUCCUGACACUUAAUGAAAGACAAGAACUGGAUCAUAAAGAAUCUUGAAAGCGAAGCUUCUGUUUGAUGCAAUGGAGAAGAGGGUCCAGAAACCCAAGAGGGGUCUGAGAUGGUUUAGGUUUGAUGGAUAAGGGGGGUACAUAGCCACGUCUCUUGAUGGGAAGUGAAAAAAAAAUAGGCCACAGUAAGAGAGGAAAGAACCUGCUCAGGAGACCUGCAGCUCUGGGGGAUGGAGAGAGGGUGGAUGCCAAAAUGUCACCUGAAGCAGUUCUCAAGAAGGGGCAGGCCAGGGCAGCAGCCAGGCGGGGUGAUGGGACUGUGCCCAAGGAAGAGGAGGGGAGGAGAUAAGGUUGUGAGUCCAGAGGGAGAGUUAAAGAUGCCUUUGAGGUUUUUGAUAUGCUGAGGUUGUAUUGCUGCCAGAAAGGAAGGGAGGAGAGAAAGUUAAGCCAGGUACACCAACACAUGGGCGGGGGAGGAGAGGCUGAAGGGAAGAAAUAACUGAAGAAGUAGGAAGAAAAUUAGAGAGUACUGAGCAAAGAAGCCAGACAAGACAAGAUUGUGGGUGGUGGAUGAUGCCAGAGCUCUGGGCAGACUGAAGAGGAUGAGGCUGAAGCGCUGAUAGAGAAGUUUGAUUAAGAUAAGGCCACUUGCUGUGCUAGGAAGAGCAGUAAUCAUGAGGGCUAGAGGCUGGCAUUUGUGUGCCUUUGAUCCUUGAAUAGCAACACAUGAAAAUCCCCUGCAUUUUUUUAUUUCUGUGUUUAACUUUGCCUCUAAAACCUCUUGCAUUUGCGUAAUGCCUUUCACCAUAAAGUAUUUUGCAGAGUUGGUUUGGUCAGCAGAGAUUUUGGAGUGAACCAGAGCAUGUGUCAAUUCUGGAAAACGCAGAAUGGGAAGUGGGAAGCAGCAGCAGGUCCCACAGAAUACACGGGUGAGCCUUCCUUUGAGAGUAUAAAAUUGAAAACAGAGGAAAAAAACUCUUUAAAAAAUUAAAAAUUAAUAUUAAUUCUCUUUAAAGCCUUCCCCACCAUGACAACUUACAGGGAAAAAAGUUUUAAUGGACCAGUAUCUCUUCUCUUAUAGCCCUGAAAAUAAAACAGUCAGGUUUAAAACUGAAGGCAUGAUAAAUUCCUGUAUUAUCUUCCAGCAGGAGGAACUAUGGAUGCUAUUUUUCCAUUUCCUGAGAAAAU